GGACGAACGCUGGCGGCGUGCCUAAUACAUGCCAUUCGAGCGGAUGAUGAAGAAGCUCGCUUCUUCUGAUUCAGCGGCGGACGGGUGAGUAACACGUGGGCAACCUGUCCUGUAGAUUGGGAUAACUCCGGGAAACCGGUGCUAAUACCGAAUAAUCCAUCUCCACACAUGUGGGGAUGUUGAAAGGCGGCUUCGGCUGUCACUACAGGAUGGGCCCGCGGCGCAUUAGCUAGUUGGUGGGGUAACGGCCUACCAAGGCGACGAUGCGUAGCCGACCUGAGAGGGUGAUCGGCCACACUGGGACUGAGACACGGCCCAAACUCCUACGGGAGGCAGCAGUGGGGAAUCUUCCGCAAUGGACGAAAGUCUGACGGAGCAACGCCGCGUGAGUGAUGAAGGUUUUCGGAUCGUAAAACUCUGUUGUUAGAGAAGAACAAGGAUGAGCGAACAGUUAGAAGGAUUGACGGUACCGGAAUAGAAAGCCACGGCUAACUACGUGCCAGCAGCCGCGGUAAUACGUAGGUGGCAAGCGUUGUCCGGAUUUAUUGGGCGUAAAGCGAGCGCAGGCGGUUUCUUAAGUCUGAUGUGAAAGCCCCCGGCUCAACCGGGGAGGGUCAUUGGAAACUGGGAAACUUGAGUGCAGAAGAGGACAGUGGAACUCCAUGUGUAGCGGUGAAAUGCGUAGAUAUAUGGAAGAACACCAGUGGCGAAGGCGCCUUUCUGGACUGUAACUGACACUGAGGCUCGAAAGCGUGGGGAGCAAACAGGAUUAGAUACCCUGGUAGUCCACGCCGUAAACGAUGGGUACUAGGUGUAGGAGGUAUCGACCCCUUCUGUGCCGGAGUUAACGCAAUAAGUACCCCGCCUGGGGAGUACGACCGCAAGGUUGAAACUCAAAGAAAUUGACGGGGGCCCGCACAAGCGGCGGAGCAUGCGGAUUAAUUCGAUGCAACGCGAAGAACCUUACCUGGGCUUGACAUGUCCCGACGAUCCCAGAGAUGGGGUUUCCCUUCGGGGCGGGUUCACAGGUGGUGCAUGGUCGUCGUCAGCUCGUGUUGUGAGAUGUUGGGUUAAGUCCCGCAACGAGCGCAACCCUUGUUGUUAGUUGCUACCAUUAAGUUGAGCACUCUAGCGAGACUGCCCGGGUUAACCGGGAGGAAGGUGGGGAUGACGUCAAAUCAUCAUGCCCCUUAUGUCUAGGGCUACACACGUGCUACAAUGGCGAGUACAGAGAGACGCAAAACCGCGAGGUGGAGCAAAACUCUAAAACUCGUCCCAGUUCGGAUUGCAGGCUGAAACUCGCCUGCAUGAAGCCGGAGAAGCUAGUAAUCGCGAAUCAGAAUGUCGCGGUGA
rnacentral:rRNA from 1 species